UGUCCCAGGGAUCCAAUGUGGAGCAAAAGUUCUGCUCCCGCCUCCUGGCCCUUUCUCUGCUGGGAGUCCUGGGACAGGAUGAAGGGGUCCUGGGGCUCAGGUUGGCACAGCCAUUUUGCCUAGUGUGGCCUCCUGAGCUCCCCAAGUCACUGGGGGUAGGAGAGGGUGGCCCAGGCGCCCCCAUGGCUGGUGGCAGCCUAAGGCUCUGGCUUUUGGGGAUGACCUGAACCCUGCCCAGCUGACCAAAGGGGACAAGAGGCUGGAGCGCAUUUGGGUUUCUUUCUCCAGGGAGGAAGCCCCUUCCCCAUCAGCCUGUGGCUUGCCCGGGCCUUCCUGGGCUGACACUGUCAGGCCCCCAGGACUGAGGAAUCAGAACUGAGCCGAGAGGAGAUCGGAGAGCAGUGGGGCCUCCGGGAGGAUCCUGGAGCUGACAUCUGCCAGAGGUCCCAGGGCUCAGAAGUUGCCGCUCAGGUGAAGGUGGGACCGAGUGAGGGUCCAGACGGAGGGAACAGGAAAGACUUCCUAACCCAGACUGUCGAGAAUGUCCUGGGUGUGGGUGAGCUCCAGCCACGCCUGAGAAUGGAACUCGUACCUGUCUCGGAUCCAGGGCAAAGGACCAAAGGCGACAGCUCCGGGAUGAGCAGGGCGGGUCUCUCAGAGGCAGUGGCUGAGGUCAGAUGGUGAUGGGUGUUUGAGACCCACUGGAUGAAGUCCAGGCAGGAGGCACGUCAUCGGACGCCGCCUCGUCCGCGGGUCCCCCGGCCCGGCCUGCCUUGCCUCCGCUCUGCAGCUUCCGUGGCGCAGCCGCCAGCGGCCUUCCUGCUCCCCGGUUCUUCUCUCCUGCUUCGGCCGUUGUGCUUUGGGUCCAUCCUCCCCCGGCGGCCUGGCUCUCCCGGGAGGAGGUUUCGGAGGUUGCUAAGAAGAGGCCUGAGCAGCACCUGCCUGUGUUGGAAUCCAGGCGGGAUGCCUUCCACUGCCAGCAGGGGGGCUCAGGCUGUCCCUGCUGCCAGGGGUUCUGACCCCUCUCUGUCCCUCUGGCCUCUGGCCUGGGGUGCCUGGGCCACUGUUGGGGCCGGGAGGAGGGUUGGGGAGCCCAGGUGGGGCUCACUGGGCGAAGCCAGAGAAACAGCACGCACAGCCUCUGGAAUUAGAUCCCAGAAACUGAAAGCGACCCAUGAUGGCUGACCACCCACCGUGGGCCACACCGUGCCCGGACACCCUUUUGCUGUUUCAUCUGCUCCUCAGUGAGGUGGGCACACACGGUUGUUUCCAUUUCACAGAACAGGGAGCCAAGGCUGCCCAGUUAGGAAGUGGUGUGGACUGAGCUUCCCCUGAGGGUGCCUCGCCCUUCCUCCUAACCCAGUGAGUCCCCAUCUCCCUCCCAAUGUCCUCAGGGCCACCUGGCCCCUCCAGGCCCUUUGAAUAUUCUGGACUGGCCACUCUGAACUUCUCGGCAUCCUUCCAGAGCACAUCCUGUCCUUCCUUGUCUCCAGGACUCCUCCGGUCUGCCGCCUCUCCGCCCCCUGGGCUUACGAACUAUUCAUACCAGGGUCUCUGGACACUUCUUCGUCUCUCCUCUCCCCGCUCUGCGUUGGACCCUGCCUGCCUCGAUUCCCCAGCAGCAGUGGCGCCUCCUGGGCACCCCCUCAGGGUUUCUCACUUCCUCCCAUCCAGGCCUGUGUCCCACUUUCUGCCAAUGUAUGCACCUGCCACUCGUGGCUCCGGGAGAGCCAGUCUCCGAACCCCGUGCCUUUUGAGCGCCCUGAGUGAGAAGGUUGGCAAGGGAGCAGACACCUCCCGAAAGGCCCCUGCGGAAGGAGGGGAGGCAUGGGGAAGGAGGAGUGUGCUCUGGGAACGGAGGAGGCCCAGCGUGGCGGACAGAGGCAUUGGCCAGAGGAAGAAAGAACUGGAAACCUUGAUGUUCGUCCGCCAUGUCCCAGUGGAGCCUGGUUCCAGGGGCCCAGCGAUUUGAAGCUGGAAUGGAAAAGGCUGUGAUUGGAGGCUGGUGGUGCAGGGGUUAACCGGAGAGGGUAAAGGUCAGAGGCCCGGAGGAAGCCCAAGAGCGCACUCAGCCCUGGCACUCAGCCCUGGCCCUGGCGACAAGGGGACGGGGCCCCAGACAGAGGCUCACGGCUCCUGUCACUCCUGAACAACUGCAUAGUCAGUGCGAGGUAAGCCCUGCUUACCUCGAGGUGAGAAAACAGAGACCAGAGAGGAACCGCAGGGGAGGGCAGCAGGACCCACAGCGCUGGGCCCCCAGGGACCGGGCCUGAGCACUGCCUGGAGCGGGUCUGGGCCACUUGGAGGCUGCUCAGGCCAUCCGUCACUCCCCCUUCCUACCCCAGGAAAAAUGUGGUUUCACUGGCAAGGGGAGGAAAUAAAUGUCUUUCUGUUUGGUU